GGGGUGUUAGCUCAGUUGGUUUAGAGCGCCGGCCUGUCACGCCGGAGGUCGAGGGUUCAAGUCCCUUACAUCCCGCCA
rnacentral:tRNA from 1 species